UACGUAGGGUGCGAGCGUUAAUCGGAAUUACUGGGCGUAAAGUGUGCGCAGGCGGCCAUGCAAGUCGAGUGUGAAAGCCCCGGGCUUAACUUGGGAAUUGCGCUCGAAACUACGUGGCUGGAGUGUGGCAGAGGAAGGUGGAAUUCCACGUGUAGCGGUGAAAUGCGUAGAGAUCGGAAAGAACACCAACGGCGAAAGCACUCUGCUGGGCCGACACUGACACUGAGAGACGAAAGCUAGGGGAGCGAAUGGG
rnacentral:rRNA from 1 species